UGCACAGGUGCUGCAUGGCCGUCGUCAGCUCGUGUCGUGAGAUGUUUGGUUAAGUCCAGCAACGAGCGCAACCCCUGUGAACUGUUGCCAGCGGAUAAUGCCGGGGACUCUGUUCAGACUGCCCAGAUCAACUGGGAGGAAGGUGGGGACGACGUCAGGUCAGUAUGGCCCUUACGCCUAGGGCUGCACACGUACUACAAUGCCCAGCACAAUGAGAACCAAUACCGCGAGGUGGAGGAAAUCUGUAAAACUGGGCCCAGUUCGGAUUGGAGGCUGCAACUCGCCUCCAUGAAGUUGGAAUCGCUAGUAAUGCCGUAUCAGCUACGACGGCGUGAAUACGUUCCCGGGUCUUGUACACACCGCCCGUCACAUCAUGGAAGUCGGUCGCACCCGAAGUAUAUGCGCUAACUUUCGAGAAGCAGUAUCCUAAGGUGAGGCUGGUAACUGGGAUGAAGUCGUAACAAGGUAGCCGUAGGGGAACCUGCGGCUGGAUCACCUCCUUU
rnacentral:rRNA from 1 species